rnacentral:rRNA from 1 species
AACGAACGCUGGCGGCAUGCCUAACACAUGCAAGUCGAACGAGACCUUCGGGUCUAGUGGCGCACGGGUGCGUAACGCGUGGGAACCUGCCCUUAGGUUCGGAAUAACUCCCCGAAAGGGGUGCUAAUACCAGAUAAUGUCUUCGGACCAAAGAUUUAUCGCCUUUGGAUGGGCCCGCGUUGGAUUAGCUAGUUGGUAGGGUAAAAGCCUACCAAGGCGGAGAUCCAUAGCUGGUCUGAGAGGAUGAUCAGCCACACUGGGACUGAGACACGGCCCAGACUCAUGCGGGGGAGAGGGGAGGAAAGUAAAGAACAAUGGGCAAAAGCCUGAUCAAGCAAUGCCGGGUGAGUCUUGAGACCGUUAGGUUUAAAAGGCUCUUUAACCGGGUAGUUAAAGAAAAGCACCGAAAGAUGAAGCACCGGCUAACUGCUU